CCUACGGGUGGCAGCAGUGAGGAAUAUUGGUCAAUGGGCGCGAGCCUGAACCAGCAAAGUAGCGUGAAGGAUGACUGCCCUACGGGUUGUAAACUUCUUUUAUAAAGGAGUAAAGUGAGGCACGUGUGCAUUUUUGUAUGUACUUUAUGAAUAAGGAUCGGCUAACUCCGUGCCAGCAGCCGCGGUAAUACGGAGGAUCCGAGCGUUAUCCGGAUUUAUUGGGUUUAAAGGGAGCGUAGAUGGGUUGUUAAGUCAGUAGUGAAAGUUUGCGGCUCAACCGUAAAAUUGCAAUUGAUACUGGCAGUCUUGAGUACAGUUGAGGUAGGCGGAAUUCGUGGUGUAGCGGUGAAAUGCGUAGAUAUUACGAAGAACUCCGAUUGCGAAGGCAGCUUACUAAACUGCAACUGACAUUGAUGCUCGAAAGUGUGGGUAGCAAACAGGAUUAGAUACCCGGGUAGUC
rnacentral:rRNA from 1 species